UUGUGCUUGCACAGAUGACGACCGGCGCACGGGUGCGUAACGCGUAUAGAACCUACCUUUUACAGAGGAAUAGCCUUUAGAAAUGAAGAUUAAUGCCUCAUAGUAUUGUAGACUGGCAUCAGUUUAUAAUUAAAGAUUUAUCGGUAAAAGAUGGCUAUGCGUCCUAUUAGUUAGUUGGUAAGGUAACGGCUUACCAAGACAGCGAUAGGUAGGGGUCCUGAGAGGGAGAUCCCCCACACUGGUACUGAGACACGGACCAGACUCCUACGGGAGGCAGCAGUGAGGAAUAUUGGACAAUGGAGGAGACUCUGAUCCAGCCAUGCCGCGUGUAGGAAGAAUGCCCUAUGGGUUGUAAACUACUUUUAUACAGGAAGAAACACUGGUAUGUAUACCAGCUUGACGGUACUGUAAGAAUAAGGACCGGCUAACUCCGUGCCAGCAGCCGCGGUAAUACGGAGGGUCCGAGCGUUAUCCGGAAUCAUUGGGUUUAAAGGGUCCGCAGGCGGUCGAUUAA
rnacentral:rRNA from 1 species